CCUUCGUCUGUGCACACAGGUCCUUCCUCCCGGUGCUCACCUGGGGAAGGUCUCCCUUCGUCUGUGCACACAGGUCCUUCCUCCCGGUGCUCACCUGGGGAAGGCCUCCCUCCAUCUGAGCACACAGGUCCUUCCUCUCCGUGGGACUGGUGCUCUGCUGGAAACGAGCCUGCAUUAUAUAGUCAAAUGUGCUCAAGUGCUUGGCCACUGAAAAAAGGAGGGCAGGGAAGGAUAUCAUCAACCAGCAUGCAAGCAUGGCAUCCACAGCACCCCAUGAGCACCCUCCCAGGAGUCCUGCCCGUGAAGAACAUGUGCUCUGCCUCAUAGAUCCGAGGAGACCAGAGGAUGAGAGAGCCUCCCACCGCGUUGCUGGCAGAAUGGCACGUGGUGUCUGUGAAGACAGACUGGCAGUUGAAUUAUAUCUGAGGUUCAUUUUUAUUGCACUAAAUACUGGGUUACCUCUGACUAAAAUGCUGAAAAUAGAAAAUCAUAACAUUCGUGGUAGAUAGAAUGUACCUCUAAAGCAUAACUAAACACACCAGUGGUGUGAAAGUUACAAGUGAAUUAACUGAAGUAUAACAGACUUCACAGAGAGCUCUAAUAGCAUACAUUUUAAGAAAGACUAGGUCAAAGCCCCACAAAAUCAGCACCAGGAAAUGAUAUACGCAAGAGAGGGGUGGGAACAGGGGAGAGGAGUAGACGAAUGAAGGGGGAAGAGGGAAGGAUGCAGUCAAAAAGUCACUGUAUAUACCACAAAAUUAAGAAAAGCGAGGAAAGGGGGUGAGAAUAUUGAAGG